UACGUAGGGUGCAAGCGUUGUCCGGAAUUAUUGGGCGUAAAGAGCUCGUAGGCGGUUUGUCGCGUCGGCUGUGAAAACCUGGGGCUCAACCCCGGGCCUGCAGCCGAUACGGGCAAACUAGAAUUCGGUAGGGGAGACUGGAAUUCCUGGUGUAGCGGUGAAAUGCGCAGAUAUCGGGAAGAACACCCGUGGCGAAGGCGGCUCUCUGGGACGGUACUGACGCUGAGACGCGAAAGCGUGGGGAGCGAACAGG
rnacentral:rRNA from 1 species